AACGCCGCGUGAGCGAUGAAGGCCUUCGGGUCGUAAAGCUCUGUUGUCAGGGAAGAACAAGUACCGGAGUAACUGCCGGUACCUUGACGGUACCUGACCAGAAAGCCACGGCUAACUACGUGCCAGCAGCCGCGGUAAUACGUAGGUGGCAAGCGUUGUCCGGAAUUAUUGGGCGUAAAGCGCGCGCAGGCGGUUCCUUAAGUCUGAUGUGAAAGCCCCCGGCUCAACCGGGGAGGGUCAUUGGAAACUGGGGAACUUGAGUGCAGAAGAGGAGAGCGGAAUUCCACGUGUAGCGGUGAAAUGCGUAGAGAUGUGGAGGAACACCAGUGGCGAAGGCGGCUCUCUGGUCUGUAACUGACGCUGAGGCGCGAAAGCGUGGGGAGCGAACAGGAUUAGAUACCCUGGUAGUCCACGCCGUAAACGAUGAGUGCUAAGUGUUAGAGGGUUUCCGCCCUUUAGUGCUGCAGCAAACGCAUUAAGCACUCCGCCUGGGGAGUACGGCCGCAAGGCUG
rnacentral:rRNA from 1 species